CUCCGGGGUCCCCGAUGCAUCCCCGAGUGAGCGCGCGCUGUUUUCCUUAUAUGAUCAGGCCCUGCGCGCCCAGUGCGGAGCCUGAGAGGAUUAUGACAACGUGGCCGGUGACGUGGGACCAGGGGACCUGGAG
ensembl:scaRNA